AACAGGCAACAGGCAACGGACAGGCAAGGAACAGGCAACAAGCAAGCAAAGAUCCAGCACCUGAGUCAGGGAAAAGGGAGACUUAAAUAGACACGACGCAGACGAGACACAGGAGGGCACAAUGAACAAUCAGGCCACAGAGAGGGAAGGGAACACGAGACAAUAAGCAACUAAUAAUGGGAUAAUUGAAAACAAUAAAACAAUUAAACAAGACACAAAGCAGAGGUGCCGCCAUCUGGCGGCCCAACCAGGAGUAACAGGGGGAAGACACAGAACCCUGACAACCCUUUAAUGUAAAAAACUUAUAGCUAAAUAUUUAACUAAAUGUAUAAAACAUUUAGCUAAACAUACGAGACUUUCAGCUGAAUGUAUAAAACAUGAAAUAUUUGAAGUAUGAAAUAUUUGCUGACUAUUUGAAACAUUUAUAAUGGUAUAAAACAUUUUGCUAAAUGUAUGCAACCUCCACAGCCCGCCUUACGGUGGUUUACCAAAAGAAACAUUCACCUUGCUGUGGACAAAUUUUGGGAAGUUAAUUUUUGUGAUGACUAAACACAACUAACUUUGCGUCAAGAGGUUCCCAGACGAGCCUCCGGUCUCUGGCUCUGGGUGUAACGGUGGUGGUGGUGGUGGACCCAAUAGCAUAGAAAGGCCACUAGAGACUUGGAUGGAGUUGCAAAAAAAAUAGCAGAGACUUUAAUCAGGAGAUUAGUGUACAGAAAACUAAGAUAGCUACUCCAGGAAAUACAAAAUACUCCAGGCUGUGAAUAACGCUCAGAGAGCACCCAAUCAGAAGCCAGCACAGAGCAGCAGGCUAAUGGGCUCAAGACAGAGUGAGGAGCAAAGCAACUAAGGCAGAAUAAGUGUUGUGAUUCAUUAACUCUCGAAUCGCUAUCAGGUGAACACACAAUCUCAUAAUCAGAGUGAUGGAGGUGCAGCUUGAAUCCUCACAGUGGGAGAUGAGUUGUUCCUGUUGGGGCAGUGGGAAUCCCAGCAUGGAGCACCCGAUACUUGUGUCUGUUUCUUAAUGUCUUUCUUCAGGUCAUCGCCGGAACGUGCAGCAACAAUGCCACGCUCAGGGUGUGCUCGCAUUGGUCAGCACUCCAAUAGUAAACAGAGAUGAACAUUGAACAUUGGCAUAUCCGCCAUUUCAAAAACCAGCCUCAGUGCCAUUUCACAGGCUUGCCAACUACUGAUUUUGAUGUUGUUAUGCUACACCCUUCCAAUGCUGUGGAAACCCCCCUACAAAUUAGCAUUAGCGGAUCCAGACCCCUCAUUCUCUUGAUCAUUUUGAGGAUUGUGUACCUUUUACACUUUUCACUAUUUUAGAUGAAGAUUAUAGUUCUCCCUCAGCCACAGAAAAGAGAAGGGAGCUAGCCUGGGGGGAAAAGUGCUAUAUAGAGUUAAUUCAUACAUUUCUCUAACUGUGUGGUCACUGUCUUGUUUGCUAAAUAAAGUAUUCAAGUUGUUUGUUCAUUUUUCUUUUUUUGAUAAGCCAACUCAUUUCAGCAUUUAAUAAAAUGGAGGUAUGCCUAAGUAGUCUA